AUUGAACGCUGGCGGCAUGCCUUACACAUGCAAGUCGAACGGUAACAGGUCUUCGGAUGCUGACGAGUGGCGAACGGGUGAGUAAUACAUCGGAACGUGCCUAGUAGUGGGGGAUAACUACUCGAAAGAGUAGCUAAUACCGCAUGAGAUCUACGGAUGAAAGCAGGGGACCUUCGGGCCUUGUGCUACUAGAGCGGCUGAUGGCAGAUUAGGUAGUUGGUGGGGUAAAGGCUUACCAAGCCUGCGAUCUGUAGCUGGUCUGAGAGGACGACCAGCCACACUGGGACUGAGACAUGGCCCAGACUCCUACGGGAGGCAGCAGUGGGGAAUUUUGGACAAUGGGCGAAAGCCUGAUCCAGCAAUGCCGCGUGCAGGAUGAAGGCCCUCGGGUUGUAAACUGCUUUUGUACGGAACGAAAAGCCUGGGGCUAAUAUCCUCGGGUCAUGACGGUACCGUAAGAAUAAGCACCGGCUAACUACGUGCCAGCAGCCGCCGUAACAC
rnacentral:rRNA from 1 species